rnacentral:rRNA from 1 species
GUAGGUGGCAAGCGUUGUCCGGAAUUAUUGGGCGUAAAGCGCGCGCAGGCGGUUCUUUAAGUCUGAUGUGAAAGCCCACGGCUCAACCGUGGAGGGUCAUUGGAAACUGGAGAACUUGAGUACAGAAGAGGAAAGCGGAAUUCCACGUGUAGCGGUGAAAUGCGUAGAGAUGUGGAGGAACACCAGUGGCGAAGGCGGCUUUCUGGUCUGUAACUGACGCUGAGGCGCGAAAGCGUGGGGAGCAAACAGGGACUAGAUACCCUGGCAGUCCACGCCGUAAACGAUGAGUGCUAAGUGUUAGGGGGUUUUCCGCCCCCCUUAGUGCUGCAGCUAACGCAUUAAGCACUCCGCCUGGGAGUACGGCCGCAAGGCUG